rnacentral:rRNA from 1 species
GCAGGCGGUUUUUUAAGUUCUGAGGUGAAAGCCCCCGGCUUAACCGGGGAGGGUCAUUUGGAAACUGGGGAACUUUGAGUGCAGAAGAGGAGAGUGGAAUUUCCACGUGUAGCGGUGAAAUUGCGUAGAGAUGUGGAGGAACACCAGUGGCGAAGGCGACUCUCUGGUCUGUAACUGACGCUGAGGAGCGAAAGCGUGGGGAGCGAACAGGAUUAGAUACCCUGGUAGUCCACGCCGUAAACGAUGAGUGCUAAGUGUUAGGGGGUUUCCGCCCCUUAGUGCUGCAGCUAACGCAUUAAGCACUCCGCCUGGGGAGUACGGUCGCAAGACUGAAACUCAAAGGAAUUGACGGGGGCCCGCACAAGCGGUGGAGCAUGUGGUUUAAUUCGAAGCAACGCGAAGAACCUUACCAGGUCUUGACAUCCUCUGACAAUCCUAGAGAUAGGACGUCCCCUUCGGGGGCAGAGUGACAGGUGGUGCAUGGUUGUCGUCAGCUCGUGUCGUGAGAUGUUGGGUUAAGUCCCGCAACGAGCGCAACCCUUGAUCUUAGUUGCCAGCAUUCAGUUGGGCACUCUAAGGUGACUGCCGGUGACAAACCGGAGGAAGGUGGGGAUGACGUCAAAUCAUCAUGCCCCUUAUGACCUGGGCUACACACGUGCUACAAUGGACAGAACAAAGGGCAGCGAAACCGCGAGGUUAAGCCAAUCCCACAAAUCUGUUCUCAGUUCGGAUCGCAG